UGCUCCUGCCGCAAAGGUUGGGUUGAU
rnacentral:piRNA from 1 species